AAGUCGUAACAAGGUUUCCGUAGGUGAACCUGCGGAAGGAUCAUUAGCAUAUCAAGCGAUUGUUCUUCAACGAGCCGCAAGGCGAGUUGAACAAUGAUCGCUAACACAACCAUGUGAACGCGGCCCAAUGUCUGCAAGCUGGAGGCGCCCUAAUAAGCGUCUGCAGCCUGCAACAAUUAAACUUUGUAACAACCAACAACCACAAAAAACUAUAACCUUACACACAACUUUUAACAAUGGAUCUCUAGGCUCCU
rnacentral:misc_RNA from 1 species